ensembl:lncRNA
UUUUUCUUGUUUUCAGUAGCAAGCGGUGUUUAUGAUUGUGCCAGAGCACAUUUUGAACAACACCAUGGGAAUUUCGGAUUUUACACAGGUGGUUGGAUGUUACACUCUGGAAAUGGAAGGAAGCACUUCAGGGUUUCCACCAGGAGGAGCGGGAGGCAGCCACCAGGGAGGAUUUGUCCAAUUACCAACGCGAAGAGGAUGUGGGAAUGCUCCAAAUCACAGUUGACUUUGUUCAUCUCCAGCAAUAAAUGAUUUAGCCUCCCUCAGUUACUGGACUCAAGUGGAUGGAUAACAGCUAAACAGGAAAAACAUUAUUUAAUCACUCUUUCAUUUUUUAAAAAUCUUUCUUGUAGUUUCUUUCAAGCUGGGUUUUUUAAAAGUGUGGACGCUGUUUAAUAACUGAUCAUCUGCUCUAAUGUUUUGUUUGCUUUUAAAAAGGCUUUUGACACUAACGUUCCACAUCCUCUCCACCUUGAUCCAGCGUCUACUGACGUCAUUUCUGAGGGAGGUUUUCAUGGAUUGUCUCAAGAGGUUACCUCAAGUACUUUGCCUCCUGUUUGGACUGUUAAUGCUUUACACUUCAAAUCAACGAUGGAUGCUUGGCUUGAGACAGAAAACAAGGGAGUUCCUGCAAGCUUUUAGAGUUUGAAUGUAACUAAAUAAAUAUCUGCACAUGUGGUUUUUAACUAUUACACGUGAACAUUAAUCAUGCUUUGUGACUUUUGACAUGGACACAGUGCCAACGUGUGCAGGCUAAACCUGCUCUCUGCCAUGUUGGUCUCUUCUAAAAAAUCAUGUUGCCAAAGAUGUCCCACUUGCUAUCCUUCUUUCUUCUGCCUCCACCAGCCUUAAUUACAUUUUAAGAUGAGCAACGUCAGUUAUUUUAGAAAGGAGAAAAUAAAAUCUGCAUAUAACUACUUUGAACUGUGUUUUUACCUUUAUUAUACGUGUGUGUGAGAACAAAACCUGUUUUUUAUUUAUCGUUAUGCACUGAAGCACUCAAACCAUACGAGUAACAUGUAGUGUUGUUUAUUUAAGACAGUUGGUUUGUAUGGUUAGGGCAUGGUUUUCCAUUCAAGUAAACACAACUAAGAAAUCAUGUUGCAAGAACUCUCACGUUGCUUUUAGGUUGGUUUUUAUUCUGGCCAGGGACAACGAUUGAAAAUUAGCCUGUGUCUAACUCUGGUACAUAAAUGUUUAUUGACUAACAUUGACCCUGUUAAUCAUAAAUAUCCAUCCAUACAUUCAU